rnacentral:rRNA from 1 species
UUGGUGCCUUCGGGAACUGUGAGACAGGUGCUGCAUGGCUGUCGUCAGCUCGUGUUGUGAAAUGUUGGGUUAAGUCCCGCAACGAGCGCAACCCUUAUCCUUGUUGCCAGCGGUCCGGCCGGGAACUCAAAGGAGACUGCCAGUGAUAAACUGGAGGAAGUGGGGAUGACGUCAAGUCAUCAUGGCCCUUACGACCAGGGCUACACACGUGCUACAAUGGCGCAUACAAAGAGAAGCGACCUCGCGAGAGCAAGCGGACCUCAUAAAGUGCGUCGUAGUCCGGAUUGGAGUCUGCAACUCGACUCCAUGAAGUCGGAAUCGCUAGUAAUCGUGGAUCAGAAUGCCACGGCGAAUACGUUCCCGGGCCUU